rnacentral:rRNA from 1 species
AGACGUCUACAUUAGAUACCCCGGUAGUCCCAGCCGCAAACUAUGCGCGUUAGGUGUAUCGACGACCACGAGUCGUCGAGGUGCCGAAGGGAAACCGUGAAACGUGCCGCCUGGGAAGUACGGUCGCAAGGCUGAAACUUAAAGGAAUUGGCGGGGAGCACCACAACAGGUGGAGCCUGCGGUUUAAUUGGACUCAACGCCGGGAAGCUCACCGGAUAAGACAGCGGAAUGAUUGCCGGGCUGAAGACUCUGCACGACUAGCUG